rnacentral:rRNA from 1 species
AGCAAACGCUGGCGGCAGGCUUAACACAUGCAAGUCGAGCGGGCACUUUCGGGUGUCAGCGGCGGACGGGUGAGUAACGCGUGGGAACGUGCCCUCUGGUUCGGAAUAACUCAGGGAAACUUGAGCUAAUACCGGAUACGCCCUUUUGGGGAAAGGCUUGCUGCCGGAGGAUCGGCCCGCGUCUGAUUAGCUAGUUGGUGAGGUAACGGCUCACCAAGGCGACGAUCAGUAGCUGGUCUGAGAGGAUGAUCAGCCACACUGGGACUGAGACACGGCCCAGACUCCUACGGGAGGCAGCAGUGGGGAAUAUUGGACAAUGGGCGCAAGCCUGAUCCAGCCAUGCCGCGUGAGUGAUGAAGGCCUUAGGGUUGUAAAGCUCUUUUAUCCGGGACGAUAAUGACGGUACCGGAGGAAUAAGCCCCGGCUAACUUCGUG